CUGCUCAGAACGAACGCUGGCGGCAUGCCUAACACAUGCAAGUCGAACGAGACCUUCGGGUCUAGUGGCGCACGGGUGCGUAACGCGUGGGAACCUGCCUUUAGGUUCGGAAUAACAGUGAGAAAUUACUGCUAAUACCGGAUAAUGUCUUCGGACCAAAGAUUUAUCGCCUUUAGAUGGGCCCGCGUUGGAUUAGCUAGUUGGUGGGGUAAAGGCCUACCAAGGCGACGAUCCAUAGCUGGUCUGAGAGGAUGAUCAGCCACACUGGGACUGAGACACGGCCCAGACUCCUACGGGAGGCAGCAGUGGGGAAUAUUGGACAAUGGGCGAAAGCCUGAUCCAGCAAUGCCCGCGUGAGUGAUGAAGGCCUUAGGGUUGUAAAGCUCUUUUACCUGGGGAUGAUAAUGCAGACCC
rnacentral:rRNA from 1 species